rnacentral:misc_RNA from 1 species
AAAAACAAAAGUUCAAUUUCGAACAACGUUAACUAUCUUAUAAUAUAUUUUGUACGUAUGUUACGUACGUGCAUCGGAAGGAUUAUAGAAAUUUUUCGUACUCGAACGAUCUACGCAUUCUUGAUGUGCAUGAAGCCCACGGGCCAGUUUAUUUCAUUGAACUUAUUUCCUCGGUUGUCAACAAUCUUUUGCUUCUUUUACCAAAUGUAUAUGUAUAAUCGCCCCAUUCGCUCCCUCCCCCUCCCCCCCGUAGACAUCUAAUUUCUACGUCAUCUUAAUGUACGCG